rnacentral:rRNA from 1 species
UACGUAGGGUGCAAGCGUUGUCCGGAAUUAUUGGGCGUAAAGAGCUCGUAGGCGGUUUGUCGCGUCUGCUGUGAAAACUGGGGGCUCAACCCCCAGCCUGCAGUGGGUACGGGCAGACUAGAGUGCGGUAGGGGAGAUUGGAAUUCCCGGUGUAGUGGUGAAAUGCGUAGAUAUCGGGAGGAACACCAGUGGCGAAGGCGACUACCUGGCCCAUUCUUGACGCUGAGGCGCGAAAGCUAGGGGAGCGAACGGG